ensembl:lncRNA
AAAGACAUACAGUGAGAGAGAGAAAGACAGAGAGAGAGAGAGAGAGGGGAGGGUGACAGAGAGAAAGACAUACAGUGAGAGAGAGAAAGACAGAGAGAGAGAGAGAGAGGGGGAGGUGACAGAGAGAAAGACAUACAGUGAGAGAGAGAAAGACAGAGAGAGAGAGAGAGGGGGAGGUGACAGAGAGAAAGACAUACAGUGAGAGAGAGAAAGACAGAGAGAGAGAGAGAGGGGGAGGUGACAGAGAGAAAGACAUACAGUGAGAGAGAGAAAGACAGAGAGAGAGAGAGAGAGAGAGAGGGAGGGGGGGGAGAGAGAAAGACAUACAGUGACAGAGAGAAAGACAUACAGUGAGAGAGAGAAAGACCGAGAGAGAGAGAGAGGGGGAGGUGACAGAGAGAAAGACAGACAGAGAGAGAGAGACAGAGAGAGAGAGAGAGGACAGAGAGAAAGACAUACAGUGACAGAGAGAAAGAGAGAGAGAGAGAGAGAGAGAGAGAGAGGGGG